rnacentral:tRNA from 1 species
AGUCAAUAAGUUUUACAACAUUAUACCUUGAAAGUAUAAAAAGAAAGUUCAAAUCUUUCAUUGACUU